UACGAAGGGGGCUAGCGUUGUUCGGAAUUACUGGGCGUAAAGCGCGUGUAGGCGGGGCUUUAAGUCAGGGGUGAAAUGCCAAGGCUCAACCUUGGAACUGCCUUUGAUACUGGAGAUCUUGAGUCCGGGAGAGGUGAGUGGAACUGCGAGUGUAGAGGUGAAAUUCGUAGAUAUUCGCAAGAACACCAGUGGCGAAGGCGGCUCACUGGCCCGGAACUGACGCUGAGACGCGAAAGCGUGGGGAGCAAACAGG
rnacentral:rRNA from 1 species